ACUCCUACGGGAGGCAACAGUGGGGAAUAUUGCACAAUGGGCGCAAGCCUGAUGCAGCCAUGCCGCGUGUAUGAAGAAGGCCUUCGGGUUGUAAAGUACUUUCAGCAGUGAGGAAGGUGGUAGUGUUAAUAGCACUAUCAUUUGACGUUAGCUGCAGAAGAAGCACCGGCUAACUCCGUGCCAGCAGCCGCGGUAAUACGGAGGGUGCGAGCGUUAAUCGGAAUUACUGGGCCGUAAAGCGCAUGCAGGUGGUUUGUUAAGUCAGAUGUGAAAGCCCGGGGCUCAACUCGGAAUUGCAUUUGAAACUGGCAGACUAGAGUACUGUAGAGGGGGGUAGAAUUUCAGGUGUAGCGGUGAAAUGCGUAGAGAUCUGAAGGAAUACCGGUGGCGAAGGCGGCCCCCUGGACAGAUACUGACACUCAGAUGCGAAAGCGU
rnacentral:rRNA from 1 species